GUUCCUCUGAAUGAUCAGUCAGUCCUCUUAACUGCUGAGCCAUCUCUCAGCUGUUGAAGUAUUUUAGUGUUUAAAUCUUAAGAAAAAGCAUGGCAUCCAUGGGGGUAGACUGCUACUCCCUCUUUGAGAGUCUCAGUAGAGACCUGGAGGGGAUGUCUUCUGGAACUUUCAUUAUCUUUCCAGUAAAAUCCUCUGGGUUCAGGAAGGACUAAUAAAUUAAGAGGGCAAGACACUAAUUGUAGUCGAGACUUUUCCUUUAACUUGUUAUGUGAGCCUUGGGCAAGUUGCUUACCUUCUGACCCUCAGUUAUUACUUCUAAAAAUGUCUUGAAAAGAUAACCCUAAAGGGCUUCUCCAUCUGACACUGAGUUCCAUUACAGUACCGGCCACAAUUACAGAUCUCCCCAAAGCAGGACCUCCUGCUCCCACUGGCUGGGCACACAGCCGUCUCCACUCUACUUUGGAAGCAGUCUUUCAAGAAUGUAGUCAGAUAGCAAUUUUUAAAGUAGCCUUGAAUUGCCUUCCUAUGGAGUUUCACCCUUUUGACAUCCCCGUGACCUCCUUGGGUGUCUCUGAAUGAUUGACGAGGAACUUGUUUCCAUGGUGAUCACACCCAUGGUGCCUAGCAGCUGGAGAGCUUAGCCCGAACCUGACACAGCUUCCUAUCUUGGGCUGGGCAUCCACUUAACCGAAGCAUCCAAGAACAAGACUUGACAGUUAUGUGCUUUAGGUCCUGGAAGGGAUUCCAGAAUAGAGGGGGUGGGAGCAUGGUGAAAACACUCAUCUUGGCUCUUAUUUUUUUUUGCCAGGGGUUGAAGUCUCAAGAAAUAUGACCUACCCAAGAAGGACCAUUCACAGUGAAGGAGUCAUGAGGGGAUCUUGAAUACCAGAUGAACUACUUCCCGCUCAAGAAACAGAAGAGAGUGGCAGAAGCAUCUCUUCACGUAUCUAAACCUCUCCUACACUGAAGCUCAAAGUUCUGAAGUUUCACGCAAAGAGCAGUUCAGGCUCUGCCUUCCCUAAUUAUGGCCCAUUAGGGCCCCAGAUCCCUCCCGUCUGCUGGAUGCUAUUUAAAAUUCUCCCUGGCAGUAGCCUUCGCCAAGGACACAGGCUACUGCACUCCAUCCUGUUGAUGAUGUUUACGUUGAGAAAGCAGAUAAUCCUCGCUGCAGUGACAUGUUGAUUGAGGCAAGUAAAAAGCCGAGUAGGGUUUUAGAAUUCUAA